CAUAGGUUAAUGAGGCGAACCGGGGGAACUGAAACAUCUAAGUACCCCGAGGAAAAGAAAUCAACCGAGAUUCCCCCAGUAGCGGCGAGCGAACGGGGAGCAGCCCAGAGCCUGAAUCAGUGUGUGUGUUAGUGGAAGCGUCUGGAAAGGCGCGCGAUACAGGGUGACAGCCCCGUACACAAAAAUGCACAUGCUGUGAGCUCGAUGAGUAGGGCGGGACACGUGGUAUCCUGUCUGAAUAUGGGGGGACCAUCCUCCAAGGCUAAAUACUCCUGACUGACCGAUAGUGAACCAGUACCGUGAGGGAAAGGCGAAAAGAACCCCGGCGAGGGGAGUGAAAAAGAACCUGAAACCGUGUACGUACAAGCAGUGGGAGCACGCUUAGGCGUGUGACUGCGUACCUUUUGUAUAAUGGGUCAGCGACUUAUAUUCUGUAGCAAGGUUAACCGAAUAGGGGAGCCGAAGGGAAACCGAGUCUUAACUGGGCGUUAAGUUGCAGGGUAUAGACCCGAAACCCGGUGAUCUAGCCAUGGGCAGGUUGAAGGUUGGGUAACACUAACUGGAGGACCGAACCGACUAAUGUUGAAAAAUUAGCGGAUGACUUGUGGCUGGGGGUGAAAGGCCAAUCAAACCGGGAGAUAGCUGGUUCUCCCCGAAAGCUAUUUAGGUAGCGCCUCGUGAAUUCAUCUCCGGGGGUAGAGCACUGUUUCGGCAAGGGGGUCAUCCCGACUUACCAACCCGAUGCAAACUGCGAAUACCGGAGAAUGUUAUCACGGGAGACACACGGCGGGUGCUAACGUCCGUCGUGAAGAGGGAAACAACCCAGACCGCCAGCUAAGGUCCCAAAGUCAUGGUUAAGUGGGAAACGAUGUGGGAAGGCCCAGACAGCCAGGAUGUUGGCUUAGAAGCAGCCAUCAUUUAAAGAAAGCGUAAUAGCUCACUGGUCGAGUCGGCCUGCGCGGAAGAUGUAACGGGGCUAAACCAUGCACCGAAGCUGCGGCAGCGACGCUUAUG
rnacentral:rRNA from 1 species